rfam:Camelus ferus unplaced genomic scaffold scaffold1525, whole genome shotgun sequence.
GAGGGUAUAGCUCAAGUGGCAGAGCACAUGCUUAGCAUGCAUGAAGUCCUGAGUUUAAUCCCCAGUAUCUCCA